rnacentral:rRNA from 1 species
CACGUAGGGGGCGAGCGUUGUCCGGAAUCAUUGGGCGUAAAGAGCGCGUAGGCGGCCAGAUAAGUCCGGUGUGAAAGUCACAGGCUCAACCUGUGAAUGCCGCUGGAAACUGUCUGGCUAGAGUCCGGAAGGGGCGAGUGGAAUUCCUGGUGUAGCGGUGAAAUGCGCAGAUAUCAGGAGGAACACCAAUAGCGAAGGCAGCUCGCUGGGACGGUACUGACGCUGAGGCGCGAAAGCGUGGGGAGCAAACAGG